CAAAUUUUUAGCCCUGAGUUAUGUACCGAAGUUAAUAAAGUGAAGUAAAGUAAAGCUAACGUUGAUUAGCCAAUGGUUUUUAUAGAACAAUUGUAUCUGGAGUUUAUUGAGAUCUGCGUCGCUUGUAAAAUGAAUGUAAUGUUGUAUUGAUCGGAAAAGCUUUUCUCGUUCCGAUAAGGUUCCAGCUCAGAUUGACAUCCAAUUCUUCCCUAAUUCAAAUGACGGCUUCGUAAUUCCCCGAGCAUCAAACGGCAAAGUUGAUUCCAUCAUUU
rnacentral:lncRNA from 1 species